rnacentral:rRNA from 1 species
ACGAAGUCGCAAGACUUAGUGGCGGAAGGGUUAGUAAUACAUGGGUAACCUGCCUUUAACUUAGGAAUAACGCUUGGAAACGAGCGCUAAUACCAAAUGUGAUGACACAAGGCAUCUUGUGCUCAUUAAAGUGGGGGAUCGCAAGACCUCGCGGUUAAAGAGGGGCCCAUGAGAUAUCAGCUAGUUGGUGAGGUAAUGGCUCACCAAGGCUAAGACGUCUAGGCGAUUGAGAGAUUGA